GUGAAUGCUCUCUGAGCGUUAACUACAUCCAUCUACACCUGUGAACUGUUGAUCACUUCGGUUGAUUGCUUUUACAAACAUUGUGUAAUGAACGUCAUGUUAUUAUAACAAAAA
rnacentral:misc_RNA from 1 species